rnacentral:rRNA from 1 species
UGCGUAGGCGGGUCUUUAAGUCAGGGGUGAAAUCCUGGAGCACAACUCCAGAACUGCCUUUGAUACUGAAGAUCUUGAGUUCGGGAGAGGUGAGUGGAACUGCGAGUGUAGAGGUGAAAUUCGUAGAUAUUCGCAAGAACACCAGUGGCGAAGGCGGCUCACUGGCCCGAUACUGACGCUGAGGCACGAAAGCGUGGGGAGCAAACA